AAGGGAGACCAACGAAGAGGGUUUCUGGUUUCCUUAUAGGGGAAGAAUGUUGAAACGCAGAUAACCGUAAACAGAAGCAGUUAUCGCCCAAAAUACGAGAUUGCAAAUGGACAGAAACGAGAACGAAUUCAACGACCCUCGUGCAAGUAUUUCCCUUACUCAUCAGCAAACAGAGGAUUCCCAGGGUUCGCCUUUGGCAUUUCCUUAUAAUACUCUCCCAUCCUACUUCGAUCGGCUCCUCCACCACUGGACGAUCCGCUUCCUUCGCCUCUUCCUCCAUCUCCCCCGCCGGUCUCCCUUCCUUUCCCACUACCUCCACCACCAUAGUCCAAUUCUUCUGUCGAUGCCCUCUCCGUCACCCCCUGAGAGAGGUUCCAGAUUCGCCUCCCCAUCAUCAGCGCCGUCUCUAUCCCUCUCGUCUAAAAUCGUCACACUCUUCUCACAACCCUACCUGUGAGGCCUGCUAGGAUCCACCUGCUUGAAGUCGCACUUGACACAAAAAAGGAAGCGACCACCGAGGGAGAUAGACAUCGGCUUCAGAACUGGUAAUGUUUUGCUUGGAUGGAGGGAAAUGGAAAGAAAGGAAGGGGUGAAAAUACCAGGACGGAUCUCUUUCAUGGCUGGAAAAAUCUCUGACAGAGAGAGGAAAAGAAAAGCUCUACUUGGCGGUCUAGAGGGAGGGAGAGAGAACUCACCCACAAAAGAAAUGUCCUUCAGAGAAGUCAGGGCCGAGAGAGAGAUCGAGAGAGGACGCAAACUCCGCAUCAUCAUCAAAAGUGAUUUUUAGAAACCACAUUUUCUGAAAUCCUUCGAUAUAAGAUCCGAAAAUUUAAAAUCAGCAUGGGAUGUUAGAUCCGGUCCCCGGAGCUAUCAAAGGAGGGAACCUUGGGGGUCCUCUUCCUAAGAGGCGUUUGACUGCCACGAAAAAAGUCCAUUGAGGUCUUCCUUCCAGAUUUUUCUGAAUUUUUCUCCACAAGUUUGAAACGCGGAUAAAACUUUCCUGUCAUUCAGUCGCGUUUGGGAAACAAUCCCUGGAAAAGUCGGUCCUAGAGGGUUCGACUUUUCUCCGAGGAUUUUUGUCGGCCACAAGCAUCGUCUUCGUGGGUGUUGUUGCUGCUCGACGCUUCGCUUCGUCUGCAUUCAUCUUCUCCAGUUUUUCUCACUUGACAUGCUUGAAUUCUCAAACAUCAACGGAACGAUUGCGCAGCAAGUUCAACAUGAUAGUUGCUUGAAAACGAUCACACUGCAUAAACGCAGGGCCCUCUCUACAGCCAUCUUCUGAACUUCCUGCGGUGGAGUUUCAAUCACAGUGGCACCAUAUCUUUUGAACAAAUUUGGACCGAUCAAAGAAACUACCUUCUGCGUAAGGAAUAUGCGCUGAACCUGUUUCUGCAAUGUGACAAAUGUACAUGUGAGCUGGAGGAGCACGUCCACGAAAUCCUCGUUCUUCUUGGGUUCCCCUUUUGCAGCCGCAUCUUCAUACGCCCUCACGUGUUUAUCGAUCAAUUCGUCGAAGAGCGCGUACACUCGAGUAAGAAUGCGUCUGUUGC